rnacentral:rRNA from 1 species
UACGAAGGGGGCUAGCGUUGCUCGGAAUCACUGGGCGUAAAGCGCACGUAGGCGGCUUUUUAAGUCAGGGGUGAAAUCCUGGAGCUCAACUCCAGAACUGCCUUUGAUACUGGGAAGCUUGAGUCCGGGAGAGGUGAGGUGGAACUCCGAGUGUAGAGGUGAAAUUCGUAGAUAUUCGGAAGAACACCGGUGGCGAAGGCGGGUCUCUGGGCAACAACUGACGCUGAGGAGCGAAAGCGUGGGGAGCGA